rnacentral:rRNA from 1 species
UACGUAGGGGGCAAGCGUUGUCCGGCUUUAUUGGGCGUAAAGAGCGUGUAGGCGGUUUGGUAGGUCCGUUGUGAAAACUCGAGGCUCAACCUCGAGACGCCGAUGGAAACCAUCAGACUAGAGUCCGGAAGAGGAGAGUGGAAUUCCUGGUGUAGCGGUGAAAUGCGCAGAUAUCAGGAAGAACACCCGUGGCUAAGGCGGCUCUCUAGUACGGUACUGACGCUGAGACGCGAAAGCGUGGGGAGCGAACAGG